rnacentral:rRNA from 1 species
UACGGGGGGGGCAAGCGUUGUUCGGAAUGACUGGGCGUAAAGGGCGCGUAGGCGGCCCGCUAAGUCAGACGUGAAAUCCCUCGGCUCAACCGGGGAACUGCGUCUGAUACUGGCAGGCUUGAAUCCGGGAGAGGGAUGUGGAAUUCCAGGUGUAGCGGUGAAAUGCGUAGAUAUCUGGAGGAACACCGGUGGCGAAGGCGGCAUCCUGGACCGGUAUUGACGCUGAGGCGCGAAAGCCAGGGGAGCAAACAGG